GAUGAACGCUGGCGGCGUACCUAAUACAUGCAAGUCGAGCGAAUGGAUUAAGAGCUUGCUCUUAUGAAGUUAGCGGCGGACGGGUGAGUAACACGUGGGUAACCUGCCCAUAAGACUGGGAUAACUCCGGGAAACCGGGGCUAAUACCGGAUAACAUUUUGAACCGCAUGGUUCGAAAUUGAAAGGCGGCUUCGGCUGUCACUUAUGGAUGGACCCGCGUCGCAUUAGCUAGUUGGUGGGGUAACGGCUCACCAAGGCAACGAUGCGUAGCCGACCUGAGAGGGUGAUCGGCCACACUGGGACUGAGACACGGCCCAGACUCCUACGGGAGGCAGCGGUAGGGAAUCUUCCGCAAUGGACGAAAGUCUGACGGAGCAACGCCGCGUGAGUGAUGAAGGCUUUCGGGUCGUAAAACUCUGUUGUUAGGGAAGAACAAGUGCUAGUUGAAUAAGCUGGCACCUUGACGGUACCUAACCAGAAAGCCACGGCUAACUACGUGCCAGCAGCCGCGGUAA
rnacentral:rRNA from 1 species